rnacentral:rRNA from 1 species
GGGGCAUAGCCCGGCGAAAGUCGGAUUAUACCCUAUGUUAUCCGAAGAGGACAUCUGAAUUGGAUUAAAGAUUUAUCGCUAAGGGAUGGGGAUUCGUCUGAUUAGGUUUGUUGGCGGGGUAACGGCCCACCAAGCCCACGAUCAGUAGGGGUUCUGAGAGGAAGGUCCCCCACAUUGGAACUGAGACACGGUCCAAACUCCUACGGGAGGCAGCAGUGAGGAAUAUUGGUCAAUGGUCGAGAGACUGAACCAGCCAAGUAGCGUGCAGGAUGACGGCCCUAUGGGUUGUAAACUGCUUUUAUACGGGGAUAAAGUGAGCCACGUGUGGUUUUUUGCAGGUACCGUAUGAAUAAGGACCGGCUAAUUCCGUGCCAGCAGCCGCGGUAAUACGGAAGGUCCGGGCGUUAUCCGGAUUUAUUGGGUUUAAAGGGAGCGCAGGCGGGUUGUUAAGCGUGACGUGAAAUGUAGCCGCUCAACGGCUGAACUGCGUCGCGAACUGGCUUUCUUGAGUGAGUACGACGUCAGCGGAAUUCGUGGUGUAGCGGUGAAAUGCUUAGAUAUCACGAAGAACCCCGAUUGCGAAGGCAGCUGACGAGUCCUUUACUGACG